AUGCUUUGUUUGAUUCAGAUUAUGCUAGUGAAUUCAGUUAGUUCACCUCACCUUCACUUCACCAAAUUUCUGACACAGGACACUGAAUGGAGUAUGAUUGACAGACACAAAACACUCCAACAGCAGCAGCAGAGGCAAUCAGCAGUCGAGGUGCUCGAGGGCAGAGGCAAUCAGCAGAAGCAAUCAGCAUUCGAGGGCAGAAGCAAUCACCAGAGGCAAUCAGCAGAAGCAAUCAGCAGAAGCAAUCGGCUGUGGCAUCAGCAGGUUUGCGUGGUCCUCUCUCCGCCGGGGAAGAUCCGCCUUGCCCUGCCUGCUGAAUUCUUCAAGAGGGGAGCGGCGACCGGGGUCGGUAGCGGCGGCUGGGGUUGCCGCGGGGGUGAGGAACCGGCGAGCAGGGCCAGGGACGCGAGCAGGGCCACGAGGAGGAGGCGCCCGUCGAGGUGGUCGCCUUGGAGGAGCAGCCUCGGCUGGGCGGCGGGGCAGCUCACCUCCGUGCGGACGGUCCACGUUCGCAGCGGCGGGGCAGCUCGCCUCCGUGCGGACGGCCCACGUUCGUAG
rnacentral:rRNA from 1 species